rnacentral:rRNA from 1 species
ACAUUUGGAAACGGAUGCUAAUACCGGAUAUUAUGCGAGUCUCGCAUGAGGUUCGUAUGAAAGCUAUAUGCGCUGCAGGAGAGCUUUGCGUCCUAUUAGCUAGUUGGUGAGGUAAUGGCUCACCAAGGCGAUGAUAGGUAGCCGGCCUGAGAGGGUGAACGGCCACAAGGGGACUGAGACACGGCCCUUACUCCUACGGGAGGCAGCAGUGGGGAAUAUUGGACAAUGGACCAAAAGUCUGAUCCAGCAAUUCUGUGUGCACGAUGAAGUUUUUCGGAAUGUAAAGUGCUUUCAGUUGGGACGAAGUAAGUGACGGUACCAACAGAAGAAGCGACGGCUAAAUACGUGCCAGCAGCCGCGGUAAUACGUAUGUCGCAAGCGUUAUCCGGAUUUAUUGGGCGUAAAGCGCGUCUAGGCGGUUUGGUAAGUCUGAUGUGAAAAUGCGGGGCUCAACUCCGUAUUGCGUUGGAAACUGCCAAACUAGAGUACUGGAGAGGUGGGCGGAACUACAAGUGUAGAGGUGAAAUUCGUAGAUAUUUGUAGGAAUGCCGAUGGGGAAGCCAGCCCACUGGACAGAUACUGACGCUAAAGCGCGAAAGCGUGGGUAGCAAACAGGAUUAGAUACCCUGGUAGUCCACGCCGUAAACGAUGAUUACUAGGUGUUGGGGGUCGAACCUCAGCGCCCAAGCUAACGCGAUAAGUAAUCCGCCUGGGGAGUACGUACGCAAGUAUGAAACUCAAAGGAAUUGACGGGGACCCGCACAAGCGGUGGAGCAUGUGGUUUAAUUCGACGCAACGCGAGGAACCUUACCAGCGUUUGACAUCCUAAGAAAUUAGCAGAGAUGCUUUUGUGCCCCUUCGGGGGAACUUAGUGACAGGUGGUGCAUGGCUGUCGUCAGCUCGUGUCGU